rnacentral:rRNA from 1 species
GACGAACGCUGGCGGCGUGCUUAACACAUGCAAGUCGAACGGAAAGGCCCUGCUUUUGUGGGGUGCUCGAGUGGCGAACGGGUGAGUAACACGUGAGUAACCUGCCCUUGACUUUGGGAUAACUUCAGGAAACUGGGGCUAAUACCGGAUAGGAGCUCCUGCUGCAUGGUGGGGGUUGGAAAGUUUCGGCGGUUGGGGAUGGACUCGCGGCUUAUCAGCUUGUUGGUGGGGUAGUGGCUUACCAAGGCUUGGACGGGUAGCCGGCCUGAGAGGGUGACCGGCCACAGUGGGACUGAGAUACGGCCCAGACUCCUACGGGAGGCAGCAGUGGGGAAUAGUGCACAAUGGGCGGAAGCAGGAUGGAGCAACGCCGCGUGCGGGAUGACGGCCUUCGGGUUGUAAACCGCUUUCGACUGUGACGAAGCGUGAGUGACGGUAAUGGGUAAAGAAGCACCGGCUAACUACGU